rnacentral:rRNA from 1 species
CCUACGGGAGGCAGCAGUGAGGGAUAUUGCGCAAUGGGCGAAAGCCUGACGCAGCGACGCCGCGUGGGCGAGGAAGGCCUUCGGGUUGUAAAGCCCUUUUGGCAGGGAAGAGCAAGGACUGUACCUGCAGAACAAGUCACGGCUAACUACGUGCCAGCAGCCGCGGUAAUACGUAGGGGGCGAGCGUUGUCCGAGGUCACUGGGCGUAAAGCGCGCGUAGGCGGGCCACUAAGUCGGAUGUGAAAUCUCCACGGCUCAACCGGGAAAGUGCAUCCGAUACUGGUGGUCUGGAGGGGUGGAGAGGGAAGUGGAAUUCCUGGUGUAGCGGUGAAAUGCGUAGAUAUCAGGAGGAACACCCGUGGCGAAGGCGGCUUCCUGGCCAUGGCCUGACGCUGAGGUGCGAAAGCCAGGGGAGCGAACGGGAUUAGAUACCCGG